rnacentral:lncRNA from 1 species
UCCACGCGACGCGAGGAACCUUAGCGACGGCGGCGGGCCAAAUUGAGUGCGGCGGCUACCGAAAUCCAGGCGGCGACGACGGAAAUCGGGGUGCCGGGCUCCACCGGGCGCUCUCCCGUGGGAAAUCAAGGCCGCCUAAGCUGCGAGCGGGUGGCAGCGAACCCUCUGCCACUCGGGGCGGCGGGCGGCCAGUGGCAGGGCGACGCAAGCAGGCAAGCCGCGAUCUGUUGGGCGAUGCGGAGUGCCGGGGCGGCCGCGGGGGGGCGCACAGGUAUAGCUGCAGCCUGCAGCUGAGCGUGGGAGGCAGCUCGCUGGCGUGGCCUGCUGGCUGCGCCGCUGCAGUAGCCCAGCAAAGGCCCAACGCGCCUGCGCGCAAGGCGGCAAGGAGCACGCAGGGGCGAUGGGCACGGUGCAUCAGUGGUAGGGUGGCAGUGGGGAAGGGUCAUCCAUCAUCAGGCCGGGUACGCCAUGCGCUGCUUCUUCGCCGAGGACAGUAUGGCGCACGUGCCCAGCUGUUGCUCGACGAAUUGCCUGCAAAGAAAGUUCUCCAUCCGGCUGCAUGCUACUUUCCAUUGUUUGCAGGACGCGUCACGCGUGGAAUCGAUCUCCGAGCAGGAAAUGAAUGAGAGUAUGUUUGACGUACGUUGGUGUAUUUGUGCUACUACGUGAUGAGUUACUGACUUCGGUGAUAUGUUCUUUGCCACUUUGACUUAACUGCCGUGGGCAAAGUAGUCAUUUUACACCUGAAUUGACACCGUUAAGUU